GGAGGAAGGUGGGGAUGACGUCAAAUCAUCAUGCCCUUAUGACCUGGGCUACACACGUGCUACAAUGGUUGGUACAACGAGUUGCGAGUCGGUGACGGCGAGCUAAUCUCUUAAAGCCAAUCUCAGUUCGGAUUGUAGGCUGCAACUCGCCUACAUGAAGUCGGAAUCGCUAGUAAUCGCGGAUCAGCACGCCGCGGUGAAUACGUUCCCGGGCCUU
rnacentral:rRNA from 1 species